AGCACGCUGGCGGCUACCAAGCUGGAGGAGGCGGCGGGCGCGAGACUGGGAAUGCGCAGGGCCCCCUCCCUGCCCCCACAGCCUGGGCCACGGGCCCCAUCUUCCCCGCUGCUGCGCGGCACUCAGUGCCCACCCCCCGACGAGGCCGGCAGCUGCUCCCACCCGGGGGCGUUGUCAGCUGCGCCGGGCCGCGCGCUGGGAGGCGAGGGCACGCAUGGGGAGCCUCCGUUGAUGCCACCACCACGCCGCCCUCCGAGGCUGCGUCCCGGGAAGCCCGGCUACCCGAGCGCUCCGGCCUGGCCCGGUGCCCCGGACCUGAGUGUGUCCGCAUGGAGGAGCCCCGACUGGCCCAGGCGGCCGUGGCGGAGAGCGACCCCCGAGAGGUGUGGGAGGAGACCCCCGGCUGGGCACCCGCAUUCUGCCCCAGCCCCAAGGCCUGGUCGCCGGAGCCGCCUGCCCACCGCCUGCAGGACUUCGACACACUGGCCACCGUGGGCACUGGGACGUUCGGGCGGGUGCACCCGGUGAAGGAGAAGACCGCCAAGCAUUUCUUCGCCCUCAAGUUGAUGAGCAUUCCUGAUGUCAUCCGCCUGGCAGGAGCAGCACGUGCACAUUGAGAGGUGUGUCCGGAAGGAAUCAUCCGCCCGUCCCUCAUCUGCGUCCGGAAGGAAUCCCUUCCUCAUCUGCGUCCGGAAGGAAGUCAUCCGCCCGUCGCUCAUCUGCGUCCGGAAGGAAGUCAUCCGCCCGUCCCUCAUCUGCGUCCGGAAGGAAGUCAUCCGCCCGUCCCUCAUCUGCGUCCGGAAGGAAGUCAUCCGCCCGUCGCUCAUCUGCGUCCGGAAGGAAGUCAUCCGCCCGUCCCUCAUCUGCGUCCGGAAGGAAGUCAUCCGCCCGUCCCUCAUCUGCGUCCCGAAGGAAUCAUCCGCCCGUCCCUCAUCUGCGUCCGGAAGGAAGUCAUCCGCCCGUCCCUCAUCUGUGUCCGGAAGGAAGUCAUCAGCCCGUCCCUCAUCUGCGUCCGGAAGGAAGUCAUCCGCCCGUCCCUCAUCUGCGUCCGGAAGGAAGUCAUCCGCCCGUCCCUCAUCUGCGUCUGGAAGGAAGUCAUCUGCUCGUUCCUCAUCUGCGUCCGGAAGGAAGUCAUCUGCUCGUUCCUCAUCUGCGUCCGGAAGGAAGUCAUCCGCCCAUCCCUCAUCUGCGUCUGGAAGGAAGUCAUCCACCCGUCGCUCAUCUGCGUCCGGAAGGAAGUCAUCCGCCCGUCCCUCAUCUGCGUCCGGAAGGAAUCAUCCGCCCGUCCCUCAUCUGCGUCUGGAAGGAAGUCAUCCGCCCGUCCCUCAUCUGCGUCCUGAAGGAAGUCAUCCGCCCUUUCCUCAUCUGCGUCUGGAAGGAAGUCAUCCGCCCGUUCCUCAUCUGCGUCCUGAAGGAAUCAUCCACCCGUUCCUCAUCGGCGUCCCGAAGGAAGUCAUCCGCCCGUCCCUCAUCUGCGUCCGGAAGGAAUCAUCCGCCCGUCCCUCAUCUGCGUCUGGAAGGAAGUCAUCCGCCCGUCCCUCAUCUGCGUCUGGAAGGAAGUCAUCCGCCCGUCCCUCAUCUGCGUCCUGAAGGAAUCAUCCGCCCGUCCCUCAUCUGCGUCUGGAAGGAAGUCAUCCGCCCGUCCCUCAUCUGCGUCUGGAAGGAAGUCAUCCGCCCGUCCCUCAUCUGCGUCUGGAAGGAAGUCAUCCACCCGUCCCUCAUCUGCGUCCUGAAGGAAUCAUCCACCCGUUCCUCAUCGGCGUCCCGAAGGAAGUCAUCCGCCCGUUCCUCAUCUGCGUCCUGAAGGAAUCAUCCACCCGUUCCUCAUCGGCGUCCCGAAGGAAGUCAUCCACCCGUUCCUCAUCUGCGUCUGGAAGGAAGUCAUCCACCCGUCCCUCAUCUGCGUCCUGAAGGAAUCAUCCGCCCGUCCCUCAUCUGCGUCUGGAAGGAAGUCAUCCGCCCGUCCCUCAUCUGCGUCUGGAAGGAAGUCAUCCGCCCGUCCCUCAUCUGCGUCCUGAAGGAAUCAUCCGCCCGUCCCUCAUCUGCGUCUGGAAGGAAGUCAUCCGCCCGUCCCUCAUCUGCGUCUGGAAGGAAGUCAUCCGCCCGUCCCUCAUCUGCGUCUGGAAGGAAGUCAUCCACCCGUCCCUCAUCUGCGUCCUGAAGGAAUCAUCCACCCGUUCCUCAUCGGCGUCCCGAAGGAAGUCAUCCGCCCGUUCCUCAUCUGCGUCCUGAAGGAAUCAUCCACCCGUUCCUCAUCGGCGUCCCGAAGGAAGUCAUUCGCCCGUUCCUCAUCUGCGUCCUGAAGGAAUCAUCCACCCGUUCCUCAUCGGCGUCCCGAAGGAAGUCAUCCGCCCGUUCCUCAUCUGCGUCUGGAAGGAAGUCAUCCACCCGUCCCUCAUCUGCGUCCUGAAGGAAUCAUCCGCCCGUCCCUCAUCUGCGUCUGGAAGGAAGUCAUCCACCCGUCCCUCAUCUGCGUCUGGAAGGAAGUCAUCCGCCCGUCCCUCAUCUGCGUCCGGAAGGAAGUCAUCCACCCGUCCCUCAUCUGCGUCCGGAAGGAGGUCAUCCGCCCGUUCCUCAUCUGCGUCUGGAAGGAAUCAUCCACCCGUCCCUCAUCUGCGUCCGAAGGAAGUCAUCCGCCCGUCCCUCAUCUGCGUCCGGAAGGAGGUCAUCCGCCCGUUCCUCAUCUGCGUCCUGAAGGAGGUCAUCCGCCCGUUCCUCAUCUGCGUCUGGAAGGAAAUCAUCCGCCCGUUCCUCAUCUGCGUCCGAAGGAAGUCAUCCACCCGUCCCUCAUCUGCGUCCGGAAGGAAGUCAUCCGCCCGUCCCUCAUCUGCGUCCUGAAGGAAGUCAUCCGCCCGUUCCUCAUCUGCGUCUGGAAGGAAGUCAUCCGCCCGUCCCUCAUCUGCGUCCUGAAGGAAUCAUCCACCCGUCCCUCAUCUGCGUCCGGAAGGAAUCAUCCACCCCUCCCUCAUCUGCGUCCGGAAGGAGGUCAUCCGCCCGUUCCUCAUCUGCGUCCAGAAGGAAUCAUCCACCCGUCCCUCAUCUGCGUCCAGAAGGAAGUCAUCCACCCGUCCCUCAUCUGCGUCCGGAAGGAAGUCAUCCACCCGUCCCUCAUCUGCGUCCUGAAGGAAGUCAUCCGCCCGUUCCUCAUCUGCGUCUGGAAGGAAGUCAUCCGCCCGUCCCUCAUCUGCGUCCGGAAGGAAUCAUCCGCCCGUCCCUCAUCUGCGUCUGGAACGAAGUCAUCCGCCCGUCCCUCAUCUGCGUCCUGAAGGAAUCAUCCACCCCUCCCUCAUCUGCGUCUGGAAGGAAGUCAUCCGCCCGUCCCUCAUCUGCGUCCUGAAGGAAUCAUCCACCCGUUCCUCAUCGGCGUCCCGAAGGAAGUCAUCCGCCCGUCCCUCAUCUGCGUCUGGAAGGAAGUCAUCCGCCCGUCCCUCAUCGGCAUCCUGAAGGAAUCAUCCACCCGUUCCUCAUCGGCGUCCCGAAGGAAGUCAUCCGCCCGUCCCUCAUCUGCGUCUGGAAGGAAGUCAUCCGCCCGUCCCUCAUCUGCGUCCGGAAGGAAGUCAUCCGCCCGUCCCUCAUCUGCGUCCUGAAGGAAGUCAUCCGCCCGUCCCUCAUCUGCGUCUGGAAGGAAUCAUCCACCCGUCCCUCAUCUGCGUCUGGAAGGAAGUCAUCCACCCGUCCCUCAUCUGCGUCCUGAAGGAAUCAUCCACCCGUCCCUCAUCUGCGUCUGGAAGGAAGUCAUCCGCCCGUCCCUCAUCUGCGUCUGGAAGGAAGUCAUCCGCCCGUCCCUCAUCUGCGUCCGGAAGGAGGUCAUCCGCCCGUCCCUCAUCUGCGUCCUGAAGGAAUCAUCCACCCGUUCCUCAUCGGCGUCCCGAAGGAAGUCAUCCGCCCGUCCCUCAUCUGCGUCUGGAAGGAAGUCAUCCGCCCGUCCCUCAUCUGCGUCCUGAAGGAAUCAUCCGCCCGUCCCUCAUCUGCGUCCGGAAGGAGGUCAUCCGCCCGUUCCUCAUCUGCGUCUGGAAGGAAUCAUCCACCCGUCCCUCAUCUGCGUCCGGAAGGAAGUCAUCUGCCCGUCCCUCAUCUGCGUCUGGAAGGAAUCAUCCACCCGUCCCUCAUCUGCGUCCUGAAGGAAUCAUCCACCCGUCCCUCAUCUGCGUCCGGAAGGAGGUCAUCCGCCCGUUCCUCAUCUGCGUCCGGAAGGAAUCAUCCACCCGUCCCUCAUCUGCGUCCUGAAGGAAUCAUCCACCCAUCCCUCAUCUGCGUCUGGAAGGAAGUCAUCCGCCCGUCCCUCAUCUGCGUCCUGAAGGAAGUCAUCCGCCCGUUCCUCAUCUGCGUCUGGAAGGAAGUCAUCCGCCCGUCCCUCAUCUGCGUCCUGAAGGAAUCAUCCACCCGUUCCUCAUCUGCGUCCUGAAGGAAGUCAUCCACCCGUCCCUCAUCUGCGUCUGGAAGGAAUCAUCCACCCGUCCCUCAUCUGCGUCCUGAAGGAAUCAUCCACCCGUCCCUCAUCUGCGUCUGGAAGGAAGUCAUCCGCCCGUCCCUCAUCUGCGUCCUGAAGGAAUCAUCCACCCGUCCCUCAUCUGCGUCCUGAAGGAAUCAUCCACCCGUUCCUCAUCGGCGUCCCGAAGGAAGUCAUCCGCCCGUCCCUCAUCUGCGUCUGGAAGGAAUCAUCCGCCCGUUCCUCAUCUGCGUCCGGAAGGAAUCAUCCGCCCGUCCCUCAUCUGCGUCCCGAAGGAAGUCAUCCGCCCGUCCCUCAUCUGCGUCCCGAAGGAAGUCAUCCGCCCGUCCCUCAUCUGCGUCCGGAAGGAAGUCAUCCGCCCGUCCCUCAUCUGCGUCCGGAAGGAAGUCAUCCACCCGUCCCUCAUCUGCGUCCGGAAGGAAGUCAUCCACCCGUCCCUCAUCUGCGUCCGGAAGGAAGUCAUCCGCCCGUCCCUCAUCUGCGUCCGGAAGGAAUCAUCCACCCGUCCCUCAUCUGCGUCCUGAAGGAAUCAUCCACCCGUUUCUCAUCAGGCUGUGCUGGACGGGGCAUGACUAGCGCUUCCUCUGCAGGCUCAUGGAGUAUGUUCCGGGCUGUGAGCUCUUCAGCUACCUGCGCAACCGGGGGCUCUUCUACUCUGCAGAGAUCAUCUGUGCCAUCCUGCACUCUAAGGAGAUCAUCUACAGGGACUUGAAGCCGGAGAACAUCCUGCUGGAUAGGGACGGACACAUCAAGCUCACGGACUUUGGGUUCGCCAAGAAGCUGGUAGACAGGACUUGGACCCUCUGCGGAAUACCCGAGUACCUGGCCCCCGAAGUCAUUCAGAGCGAGGGUCACGGAAGGGCUGUGGACUGGUGGGCCCUCAGCAUCCUGAUAUUCGAGAUGCUCUCGGGAUUUCCUCCAUUUGUGUGUGUGUGUGUGUGUGUGUGUGUGUGUGUGUGUGUGUGUGACAACAUGUUUGGCAUUUAUCAGAAAAUUCUUGCAGACAAGAUAGAUUUCCCCAGACAUUUGGAUUUCCAUGUGAAAGAUCUCAUUAAGAAACUGCUCGUGGUUGACAGAACAAGGUGGUUAGGAAAUAUGAAGAACGGGGCGAAUGAUGUGAAACGCCAUCGGUGGUUCCGCUCUGUGGACUGGGAAGCUGUUCCUCAGAGAAAACUGAAGCCUCCCAUCGUGCCCAAGAUAGCCCGCGAAGGCGACACCUCCAACUUCGGAACUUACCCCGAGAAUGACUGGGACACAGCCGCGACCGUGCCGCAGAAGGGUUUAGAAAUCUUCAAGAAUUUCUGAGGACAGGAGCUCACAUCUGGAAGAAGCAGGAAGGCUGGAAUCUGCCUGCAACAAAGAGCUGCUCCUGAGCAGACCAGUAGCAAUGUCUUCUUCACGUGAUAAGGACAUUUCCACUUUUCUGUCUUUGUGCCUGUAUGUAUAGAAACAGAUCAGAGCACAGUUGAAAUUAAUGUAACUGGCAUUAUUUAAGCAACUGGAAUUCCACACUGUAGGAAGGUUUUGAAAAUUGUUUGCUUGUAGAUUUUAUCUUAUCCUUUAGUGUUGUGUUCCUACUGUGAUGUCUUGGUUUUUCUCAUAGACUUAAGUUUAUAAGUUUGAACUGGACUUGUUCAAUUAUAACCACAAAUUGUGUGUGUGUGUGUGUGUGUGUGCAUGCGCGCGCCUGUGUGUAUAUAUAGAAGUCAUUAUGGCAGAUCCACAGAAAUUGUGCAAUGAUGUAAAUGUUCAUACUUCACAGAGCCUAUAAUUUUUAUUUUUCAAUUUGUUUUUUCAAAAAUCUCUUCUCUUGGGGACAACAUCUGAAGGGUCUGUUGCAUGGAUUUAAAAAAAUCAUCUCACAUGCAUUUUUUAGUUUGGGUGAAGAAAACAUCAUGGGGAGGUCCAUCUUCAGUAUCUUUAGUGCUUCCUACCUGGUAACUUGAGACUUUAAAAGAAGAAACAAAGAGAAGAAGAUAUGGGAGUGAAUUUAUUCCAAGAAUCUACAAUGACAUUGAAGUUGUUGGAGGAAUAUACUGUAUUUAAAAAACCUGUGUCACAUUCAAAAAUUUCAUCUAAGCUGGGCGCAGUGGCUUGUUCCUGUAGUCCCAGCACUUCAGGAGGCUGAGGUGGGUGGAUUGCUUGAGCCCAGGAGUUGGAGACCAGUCUGGGAAACAUGGUGAGAUGUCAUCUCUCUACAAAAUACAAAAAAAUUAGCCGGGCAUGGUGGCGCUUGCCUAUAGUCUCAGCUACUCGGGAGGCUGAAAUGAGAGGAUCACUUGAGCCCGGGGAGGUCCAGGCCGCAGUGAUCCGAGAUCACACCACUGCACUCCAGCCUGGGUGACAGAGUGAGACCCUGUCUAAAUUAAAAAAAAAAAAAAGGCAAUGGCUUUGUGCUUUUGAAGGUGGAAUGAAAGGUGGAAUGAAGACACAUCCACCUUAAGGCUUUAAAAGACCAUGAAGCUGGGUGCAGUGGCUCACUCCUGUAAUCCUAGGAUUUGGGGAAGCCAAGGCAGGAGGAUUGCUUGAGCCUAGGAGUUUGAGACCAGCCUGGGCAGCAUAGCAAGACCCCAUCUCUAUAAAAGGAAAAAAAUGUUAAAACACAGUGAAACUGCAGAAACAGAACAUAGCCACCCUUUUUCAUUAAUGACCUUUUCUUCACGUGGUGGUCAACUCAGCAGGUGAGAAUAAUUAGUAGGUUCAGUAGAAUAAAGUCUUUACAAUUAAUAACUUAGUGGAAAAUGAUGUUCAGAUGAUGAAAUGUGGAAAUGUUUUAGACAGCUGUAUUUUCAGCCUGUGUGUCUCAGUCACCAUCCUGUUGGGAUUAACAGUUGAGGGCCAUCAUUUUCUAAACAUUUCACAUGCAGUUUCCCAUAAUUUUUACCGUGAAUGUGAAAAGGUGAAACUGGUGCUGACUUCAGCGGCAGGUAUACUAAAAUUAGAAUGACACAGAGGAGAUUAGCAUGGCCCCCUGUGCAAGGAAGAUCCAGAUUCAUGCCGCAUUCCAUAUUUUUUUUUAAAAAAGGUUACACUGUGCACCGAGAUGUGCAGCUAGAAGGAAGAGCAUGAAGUCUCGUGUUUGCUGACUAUAAAAAUAAAUCAUAGUAAUAAUAUUGUUGAAAAUUCUGCUUUAAAAAUUAUUAAUAAAACCAUAAAUGAAACACUAUUCUUGAGCACACUUUAAAAAGUACAUAGACCCAUAAGUCCAUGUACUAAAAAAUGCCUAUUUUUAGGUUGCCUGUUUUGUAAUCCAGGAUUUCAUACUGAGAUGAAAAUUAGCAUCAGGAAAAGCCUGAAAUGCCUUGCCUUAAUUGUGAACAGAUACUGGGGAACCUGCCCCGAUAUUCACGUAGGUUCUUUUCUGUUUUCCUUAAGCAUCGGCCAGCUUGAGAAAUAAAGGGACAGAGUACAAAAGAGAGAAAUUUUAAAGCUGAGCGUCCGGGGGAGACAUCACAUGUCGGUAGGUUCCGUGAUGCCCCACAAGCCACAAAAACCAGCAAGUUUUUAUUAGGGAUUUUCAAAAGGGGAGGGAGUGUGCGAAUAGGUGUGGGUCACAGACAUCAAGUACUUCAGAAGGUAAUAGAAUAUCACAAGGCAAGUGGAGGCAGGGUGAGAUCACAGGACCACAGGACCGAGGCGAAAUUAAAAUUGCUAAUGAAGUUUCGGGCACCAUUGUCAUUGAUAACAUCUUAUCAGGAGACAGGGUUUUUGAGAUCAACCGGUCUGACCAAAAUUUAUUAGGCGGGAAUUUCCUCUUCCUAAUAAGCCUGGGAGCGCUAUGGGAGACUGAGGUCUAUUUCACCCCUGCAGUCUUGACCAUAAGAGAUGACCACGCCCAGGGGGGCCAGUUCAGAGACCCACCCCCAGGCGCACAUUCUCUUUCUCAGGGAUGUUCCUUGCUGAGAAAAAUAAUUCAGCGAUAUUUCUCCCAUUUGCUUUUGAAAGAAGAGAAAUAUGGCUCUGUUCCGCCUGGCUCACCGGCAGUCAGAGUUUAAGGCUAUCUCUCUUAUUCCCUGAACAAUUGCUGUUAUCCUGUUCUUUUUUCAAGGUACCCAGAUUUCAUACUGCUCAAACACACAUGCUGUACAAUUUGUGCAGUUAAUGCAAUUAUUACAGGGUCCUGAGGUGACAUACAUCUUCGUCAGCUGACAGGAUUAAGAGAUUAAAGACAGGCAUAGGAAAUCACAAGAGUAUUGAUUGGGGAAGUGAUAAGUGUCCAUGAAAUCUUUACAAUUUAUGUUUAGAGAUUGCAGUAAAGACAGGCAUAAGAAAUUACAAAAGUAUUAAUUUGGGGAACUAAUAAACGUCCAUGAAAUCUUCACAAUCCACGUUCUUCUGCCAUGGCUUCAGCCGGUCCCUCCGUUUGGGGUCCCUGACUUCCCGCAACAAACAGAUAUGCAUGAAAAUGAAAUAUGCAAAGCACAUUGAUGACCUUGUUCUUUACGGACAUUGUAAUCAGCCUCUAGCCAUACAGAACAAAUGAGAAAUUAGAAGCACUUCCAAGAACGUGUGAUGGUGUGAAACCCACUUUUGACCAUCAUGCACAUUUCAACAUUUGAAGUGAGACAGGCUACCUGGUAACUGCCCCAUGGCGGGGUCAUAGUUUAAAUGGCCCAAUGUCCUGUAGAGGUUAAUUUAAUCAAAAUGAGCUAUAAACAUAGAACAAUCACUAUGUAUAAUUUUAAAAUAGUUUACCUGGCCCGUCAUGGUGGCUCACGCCUGUGAUCCCAGCACUUUGGGAGGCCGAGGUGGGCAGAUCACCCACGGUUGGGAGUUCGAGACCAGCCUGGCCCGCAUGGCGAAACCCCCAUCUCUACUAAAACUACAAAAAUUAGGCAUGCUGGUGGGUGCCUGUGGCCCCAGCUGCUCAGGAGGCUGAGGCAGGAGAAUCGCUUGGAUUCGGGAGGCGGAGGCUGCAAUGAGCCAGGAUUGUGCCUCUGCACUCUAGCCUGGGUGACAGGGCAAGACUCCAUCUCAAAAAAUAAAAAUAAAAAUAGUUUAUCUGGGUGGGCAUUCCAAAAUUUCCGCAUAGAUGAUCACGUGAAACAAUCACUGUGCUAAAUGUGGAGGAAAAUUCAUCACGAUAAUCACAAAAUUUGUAUCAGAAAAAAAUUACAAAUGUACUUUGUUUCAUGUAAUUUUAUGAGUUGGAAGUAUUUUCUUAAAUUGGAACACUAUAAGAUAAUAUCUUUAGGAAAUGGAUAUGCCACAAUAGGAAGUAUAGUGGGGCAAGUCUUGUUUUUCUCAAGGGAAAAGCCACCAGCCUGCUUUCAUAGGCAUUGAUAAAACCAGGAAGAAAAUAAAGUCACAACCAAAUAGUAUACACUGUCUCUACUGAAUUCUUCUAAUUCCUUCCCAACAGAAGUCUAAAUCCUGCUUAGCCUAAACAUAUCUAUAGCCAGCGAUGGGCAAAUUAUAUUUGCUGUCAGCAUGAUAGAAUAAGAAUCAGAAACCCCCCAGCAGUGGGGUAAGAUCGUGCACUUCAUCCCCUCAAAAUGCUGUCAACCCCAUUCCCUCUCCAUGCCCUCAAACAACUGCACAGUCACUUGUUAGUGAAUUUCUCGUUCAGCGUUUUGUUUUUUUCUCUCCAUACUUAAAGACCAAAUCAUUUGUUUGCUCUGAAGAAAAAGAAAAAACAAAACAAAACAAAAAACCACCCACCAAAUCAUUUGAAAUCACUACCCGUUAAAAAAAAUCACCAGUGGAACUAAACAGUUGAGUGGUUUGGGAUGUGUUCGCCAUUUCUGUGUUUGACCUACAUGGCCUCUAGUUCUUUGGACCACUGUAACUGUGAAACCAUGGCUUAAUACUGUUAAAGACCCCAAGGCUCAACUCUGUAGCCAGGGUGUACCUCAGGCUGCACAAAUAUCACACCAGAAUGUCACAAUCAUUCAUUGCUCCAGCUACUGAGUGAACAGGGUGCAAGACAGCACUGGCUUGGGUUGUAUUUUUGCAGCCAGUUAACUUUGCAUCAGGUCUACACAGUCCUUGCAGCCUUUGAUUUCUCCAGUUGUAGAGAUUUGAAAUGGGGUGCCCGGGUUCCUCUCGUUUUUCCUUCAACCUACCUAGCAUGCAUUUUACACACAUUGGAGGAGUCUUAUGCACUGUUUUUCUCUGUUGCUGAUGGAGGCAAGAAGGCCUUCUAAUUAGUCUAACUUAAACGGACGGGAUUCACCUAACAAAAGCAAGAAGAAAAGCACAAGAACAGGUGUCUUAAUGCAUUUGGAUAAUUUAUUUGGGGUGUGUGCGUGUGUGUGUGUGUCUUGGUGGAGGUGGGGGCCGUGUUCUCACCAAGCCUUUUCAUAAUCAAGUUUGCUUUGCAAACUUUAUGGCCUUACACCCAGCAGAACAGUCCUUGCUAAUAAAAGGAGGAUGCCCUGUCACAGUUCUCUGUAAAUUAUCAUGUGUUGGGAAGUUCUGUUGAUGCUUAGUUUGAUCUUCCAUGGUGGACACAUCUGUUCUGUAUGUACAAGGCAUUACAUGUGUGUUUUAGCGGAUGGGAAUUGAAGCCUUUCCACAGUCCUUGUGCUCUGAGAUGGCUGUUGAGCUCUGCUCAGCUGUCGUAGCUGAAUUCUUUUUUUGUGCUGAACACUGGGCAGCCUCACCAUGUUGUCAAUGUGCUUCUGGGGCCCCUGUGACUGCUGCCAGAUGCCAUGCACACAAGCAGAGUGCCUUUGCAGGUUUGUGCACCCCUUGGCGAGCUGGAACUGGGAGCCCUGUGGGGUGAUCUCGCCUUCUCAUGGGGGGUCGGGGAGGGGAGUGCCUAUUUUUAAUCUUGUCUGUUUGUUGCACCAUGGAAAUCACUGUGAUUUGUAUAUAUGCCCUAGGAAAUUUUUACUGCAGUCUAAUUUAUGUAAUAAUGUUGAUUCCAGGUUUGUUUAAUAAAGCUUUGUAUCUUUUAAGAAAAAAAAAACUGUAGCAUGUAGAGGAAAGUGCACUGGGAUAAUCCAAGGCCAGGCUUUGAGGUUCCACCGCUACAUUAUGUGACUCUUAGUCUAAACCUUUUGGUGUAAUUUCUUUGGUCUGAUUAUUUAUAAGUAGCAGAUAAUAAAUGAAUUUUAUACUACAAACACAAGUGACAA